CAGUCGCCGCGGUAAUACGUAGGGUGCAAGCGUUAAUCGGAAUUACUGGGCGUAAAGCGUGCGCAGGCGGUUUGUUAAGACAGAUGUGAAAUCCCCGGGCUCAACCUGGGAACUGCAUUUGUGACUGGCAAGCUAGAGUAUGGCAGAGGGGGGUGGAAUUCCGCGUGUAGCAGUGAAAUGCGUAGAUAUGCGGAGGAACACCGAUGGCGAAGGCGACUCUCUGGUCUGUAACUGACGCUGAGGAGCGAAAGCGUGGGGAGCGAACAGGAUUAGAUACCCCAGUAGUCCCUGUCUCUUAUAC
rnacentral:rRNA from 1 species